rnacentral:rRNA from 1 species
AGAGCGAACGCUGGCGGCAGGCCUAACACAUGCAAGUCGAGCGCCCCGCAAGGGGAGCGGCAGACGGGAGAGUAACACGUGGGAACGUACCCUUUGGUUCGGAACAACACAGGGAAACUUGUGCUAAUACCGGAUAAGCCCUUACGGGGAAAGAUUUAUCGCCAAAGGAUCGGCCCGCGUCUGAUUAGCUUGUUGGUGAGGUAACGGCUCACCAAGGCUACGAUCAGUAGCUGGUCUGAGAGGAUGAUCAGCCUCACUGGGACUGAGACACGGCCCAGACUCCUACGGGAGGCAGCAGUGGGGAAUAUUGGACAAUGGGCGCAAGCCUGAUCCAGCCAUGCCGCGUGGAUGAUGAAGGCCCUAGGGUUGUAAAGUCCUUUCGACGGGAAGAUAAUGACGGUACCGUAGAAGAAGCCCGGCUAACUUCGCGCCAGCAGCCGC